rnacentral:rRNA from 1 species
AACCGGCAGAAAUGCUGGCUAAUACCGCAUAAUCCACAUUGGGAAAGCGCGCUGCGCUUUAGGAUGAGCCCAAGGCUGAUUAGCUAGUUGGUGGGGUAAAGGCCUACCAAGGCGACGAUCAGUAGCUGGUCUUAGAGGAUGAUCAGCCACACUGGAACUGAGACACGGUCCAGACCCCUACGGGAGGCAGCAGUGGGGAAUCCUGCACACUGGGGGCAACCCUGAUGCAGCCAUGCCGCGUGCGCGAUGAAGGCCUUCGGGUUGUAAAGCGCUUUUGGCGGGGACGACGAUGACGGUACCCGCAGAAUAAGUCACGGCUAACUUCGUGCCAGCAGCCGCGGUAAUACGAAGGUGGCGAAUGUUGCUCGGAUUCACUGGGCGUAAAGCGUCCGCAGGUGGUCGAUUAAGUCAGGUGUGAAAGCCCCGAGCUCAACGUGGGAACUGCAUUUGAAACUGAUUGACUCGAGGGCAAGAGAGGAGGGCGGAAUUUCCGGUGUAGAGGUGAAAUUCGUAGAUAUCGGAAGGAACACCCAUGGCGAAGGCAGCUCUCUGGCUUGCUCCUGACACUCAUGGACGACAGCGUGGGGAUCAAACAGGAUUAGAUACCCUGGUAGUCCACGCCGUAAACGAUGCAUGCUCGCUGUCAGACCCGCUACAGGGUUUGGUGGCUUAGCUAACGCGGUAAGCAUGCCGCCUGGGGAUUACGGCCGCAAGGUUAAAACUCAAAGGAAUUGACGGGGACCCGCACAAGUGGUGGAGUAUGUUCUUUAAUUCGACGAUACGCGAAAAACCUUACCUGGGCUUGUAUGUCAGCUGCCGUUCCCCGAAAAGGGAGCUUCAUUUAGUUGGGCUGAACACAGGUGUUGCAUGGCUGUCGUCAGCUCGUGUCGUGAUCUAAGACAACCGCCGUGGAUAACGCGGAAGGAAGGUGGGGGAUGAUGUCAAGUCAUCAUGGGCCCUUACGCCCAGGGCAAGAAGACGUACUACAAUUGCCAGUUACAAAAGGGUUGCCAAACCCGCAAGGUGAAGCCAAUCCCAAAAAAGCUGGGUUCAGUUUUCAGAAUGUCCCUCUUGAAAUCCAAAGGGAUUAAAGCUGGGAAACCCUAGAAAAACCCCGGAUAACAAAUGGCGCCGGGGAAAACAAUUCCGGCUGUUUUUUUUUUCCCCCACG